GGGUACCGAACUCUUGCUGCAGGGUUUCGAUCGCCGCUUCCUGGCGGCGCGCACACUGCGCUCCUUCCCCUGGCAGAGCUUAGAAGCAAAGUUAAAAGACUCAUCAGAUUCUGAGCUGCUGCGGGAUAUUUUGCAGAAGACAUGCUGUAUUGCCCAGAAGCCAUCGUGUCGCUGGUCGGGGUCCUGUGGAGGCUGGCUGCCUGCCAGGAGCACAAGCGGACUCCUGAGGUCUACAUGGCCUUUACCGUCCACAACCCAGAGACGUGCCAGCUGUUCACCACCAAGCUAGCUGAGCCCCCACGCCCACCCGGGCCUGCAUGGUCCCUGAGCUGUCCCUGCAGGACUCCAGUGGAAGUGAAAGAACUGGGCGCCGGGGAAAAGCUAGGAUGUCCCACACUCCCACACCAUGCAGGGAACUCGGGCACAGGCCUGCCGGGCCGGGAUCAGAUGGGAAGCGGAAGCUCAUCAUGACCAGAAACUGUUACCCUACGGAGAGCACUUGGAGAUGGCAAUGCUGAACCUCACACUGUAGGACUCACACACGACUCUAACGGGAUUGUGAGAAUCAAGUCACUCUCGUGGGAAGAAUUUUUAUAUGGGAAAGCGGCUAAAACUUUCAUUGGACUGGAAUGUUUGGAAAAUGUUAAAUUCCAAAUCAGGAACCACAAACUGCCCUCUAAUAAGAC
rnacentral:sRNA from 1 species